UCCGUCCUCUGACUUGACCCGCAGGAUUCAGACCCUUAGAAGGCCACAGCAGGGGGUCCCCAGCCCUCCCAAGUGCUGUUAUUUGUCCUCAGUGUCUGGCCCACCAUGGCCUCGUGGUCCCUGCCACAGACACUGCCUUCAAGGGAUGCUUUGACGACUGCUCAGAGCAGCCCCUGCCAGGCUAGGAGGAGCUGAUGCUGGAAGGGAGGGCCGAGUGAGAAGCCUGGGGAGUAUGAGCUUCCAGAGGGUCACACUCCCGGUCCAGGAGGCGCCAGCGUGGACUUGGGCCAGUCAGACCUGCUGAAGAAGCCGGUGAUCAGGAGAAAGGCUCGUUGGUCCCAUUUCACAGAUGAGGAAGCUGAGGCACUGAGAGGUUUUGAGGAAACUGGGGUCCAGAGAGGGGUAACUUGCCCAGGUGGCUUGGUGUGUGGGAUCCAGGCCCCGAAGACACAGCCUUUGCUUCUCUGGGUCUUCGUGACGUGAAGGGGCUGAACUCGGCCGUGUUCAAACUAACCCCCAGCCCCUGCUGGCUUCCCGCCACCUAUCUCCCACCAGGGGCCUGGGAAAGGAAGCCUUACUCCCAGGUGCCCUUGUCACUUUUUCCGUGCUCAUUUGCAUGUGCCGCUCUCUGUGCUGAGGCCACCUUUGCUUGGGGUCACUGUGGGGAUGACCUUGGGUGGAGCUUCCUGUGGCUGGCUCUGUCUUCUGCUGCAAGGCAGACCACGAAAGCCACACCAGGUGGGGCUCUGGGGGUCACAUAGCCGCCUCCGUGGCCUGCAGCACCUGGUCCUUGUCGGAGGAGAUAAGCCCUGGGGCCCCUCUGCCUCCCCUCCAGGCCCCCCUUAUGCCGCAGUAACAGAGCAGUCUCCGGCAGGACGGCCGGAUCCCCUCCUUUCGCCCCUCACCUGCCCGAGAGCCUGAAGCUGGCUCUUCACUUCCUCCCAGGACCAACCUAAGUUCAGCCUUGAUCUAUCCAUCUUUCAUGAUCUGCCAUUGCCCUUUGACCCUUUAGGCCAAGUUUGUUCCUCCGUCCUCUCGCCUCACUCCCACAUCUCCACCUUUGCUUCCGCCAUUGCUCCUGCCUGCAGUUUCAGUCCCUGUGGCCCCUCCCAUCUGCUCAAGUCAACACUUUCAGGAUUCCUUUAAGGCGAGCAGAAGCUCCCCCUUCUCCCGGGCUGGCUUUUCAGUGGUAGUGCCACCCUCUGCCACUACCACGUGCCACUUCUCCAGUCUCCUCCCAUACCCAGUGCCUCUGCUACGCUCCCUGCCCUGGGUGACAGCUGCUGCAAGCAGGGCUUGGAACGGCUUCAGGAAAGGUCCGAGUGAGAGGCCACCCCAGGUGCAACAGCUCUGUCCUGUAAAUGCCACACACAGGUUCCCCGAGAGAGUGGAAGCAGGUCACAGGCACAGCGGAAGGGAGCGUGUGGGCUCCUGACCAUGAAGGCUGUGAGACUCACCCGACAGGUGCCUCUCUGAGAUCCUGACCAUGGUCUUUGGUCCCAGUGCCCUGGCGGGCCAAGGUGCAGCCCCCCUGGGCAGAGAAAUCAUUGCAACCAUCUCUAAACGACUUCGGCAGCCGGGUCCUUAUUCUAAUAAUUAUGGUUACCAUGCACAGCUUUAGAUGCAAGCUUAAGAUGUAAGUUAACACUUACAAUAGCCCAUGAGGCAGGGCAGAUGCCAAGACCACUCUUCCCUCUUUCCGAUGGGGAACUCCGAGUCGUCUGGUUGGGUAGCUCCUGAAGGCUGGUCUCCAGGUGGGUCCUCAGCUCCCAGAUCCCAUUCUCUGUCUAUUAUAUAUGCCUCCCCCUCGGACCCUUAGCAUCGCAUAGGGCUGUGGCCCCAGAAACAGAAGGGCCUUGGUUGAAGUUCCUGUCCCUGCACUCACUACCAGCUGGGUGGUCGUCGGCAAGUCCUGUCA